UACGAAGGGGGCUAGCGUUGCUCGGAAUCACUGGGCGUAAAGCGCACGUAGGCGGAUUGCUAAGUCAGGGGUGAAAUCCUGGAGCUCAACUCCAGAACUGCCUUUGAUACUGGCGAUCUUGAGUCCGGGAGAGGUGAGUGGAACUGCGAGUGUAGAGGUGAAAUUCGUAGAUAUUAGGAAGAACACCAGUGGCGAAGGCGGCUCACUGGCCCGGUACUGACGCUGAGGCGCGAAAGCGUGGGGAGCAAACAGG
rnacentral:rRNA from 1 species